rnacentral:rRNA from 1 species
CCCUUAGAUGUUCUGGGCUGCACGCGCGCUACACUGACACGUUCAACGAGUUGUUGCCUGGGCCGAGAGGUCUGGGAAAUCUUUUGAAAUCGUGUCGUGAUAGGGAUAGAUUAUUGCAAUUAUUAAUCUUCAACGAGGAAUUCCUAGUAAACGCAAGUCAUCAGCUUGCAUUGAUUACGUCCCUGCCCUUUGUACACACCGCCCGUCGCACCUACCGAUUGAAUGGUCCGGUGAAAGCCUCGGGACGGCGGCUUGGUCGCUUGCGUCCGACUGCUGAAACUUGAUUAAACCAUAUCAUUUAGAGGAAGGUGAAGUCGUAACA